AUACGUAGGUGGCAAGCGUUGUCCGGAAUCACUGGGCGUAAAGGGCGCGUAGGCGGUCUGUUAAGUCGGGUGUGAAAUCUUUAGGCUCAACCUAAAGUUUGCAUUCGAUACUGGCAGACUUGAGUGCAGGAGAGGGCAGUGGAAUUCCUAGUGUAGCGGUGAAAUGCGUAGAUAUUAGGAGGAACACCAGUGGCGAAGGCGGCUGCCUGGACUGUAACUGACGCUGAGGCGCGAAAGCGUGGGGAGC
rnacentral:rRNA from 1 species